GGUAAGUCGAGUGGAUCCGGGAAGAGGCCUGGUGUCUUCAGGUUAGACGCAGCGCCCAGGGGCGGCUGAAGAAACGUGAGGGGUGUGGACAAAUCCUCCAAGAUUUAACUUCCAAGAAAACCGGCGGCGGAGCGGGUGGAGGAGGCGAGGAUGUGUGGCCAAUGCACGCGGAGUGCAAGGCCGCCUAGUUGGGAGCCGCAAGAGCCUGCCUGGUGUGGCAGGCACACGGAACCCAAUCCCUGUCUGUCCGCUGCGGCCUGGGAGGGGAGCGCCGGCCUCACCAGAGGAAGGAGCACGAGGGGAGGAGUUCCGAGAGGAAAUAAUUAGUGAAAUAUUUGCAGAAGAUGCUGGGAUGUGGAUUUAAUUCCGGAUGGACAGUGGUGCUUCUGAUUCCCUCAGUCUGUUUCCCCACCCACGAUCUCCUCUUUCCUUGGCCUAGACACACCAAAAAUAAUUCAAUAAAAUAAAAAUAAAAAUUUAAAAAUCUGUAAA
rnacentral:lncRNA from 1 species